AGCGGUAAGGCCUUUCGGGGUACACGAGCGGCGAACGGGUGAGUAACACGUGGGUGAUCUGCCCUGCACUUCGGGAUAAGCCUGGGAAACUGGGUCUAAUACCGGAUAUGACCUCAGGUUGCAUGACUUGGGGUGGAAAGAUUUAUCGGUGCAGGAUGGGCCCGCGGCCUAUCAGCUUGUUGGUGGGGUAAUGGCCUACCAAGGCGACGACGGGUAGCCGACCUGAGAGGGUGACCGGCCACACUGGGACUGAGACACGGCCCAGACUCCUACGGGAGGCAGCAGUGGGGAAUAUUGCACAAUGGGCGAAAGCCUGAUGCAGCGACGCCGCGUGAGGGAUGACGGCCUUCGGGUUGUAAACCUCUUUCAGCAGGGACGAAGCGCAAGUGACGGUACCUGCAGAAGAAGCACCGGCUAACUACGUGCCAGCAGCCGCGGUAAUACGUAGGGUGCAAGCGUUGUCCGGAAUUACUGGGCGUAAAGAGUUCGUAGGCGGUUUGUCGCGUCGUUUGUGAAAACCAGCAGCUCAACUGCUGGCUUGCAGGCGAUACGGGCAGACUUGAGUACUGCAGGGGAGACUGGAAUUCCUGGUGUAGCGGUGAAAUGCGCAGAUAUCAGGAGGAACACCGGUGGCGAAGGCG
rnacentral:rRNA from 1 species